CGGGACGGGUGAGUAACACGUGAGCAACCUGCCUUUCAGGGGGGGACAACAGUUGGAAACGACUGCUAAUACCGCAUAAAAUAACGGAACCGCAUGAUUCUGUUAUCAAAGGAGAAAUCCGCUGAAAGAUGGGCUCGCGUCUGAUUAGAUAGUUGGUGAGGUAACGGCCCACCAAGUCGACGAUCAGUAGCCGGACUGAGAGGUUGAACGGCCACAUUGGGACUGAGACACGGCCCAGACUCCUACGGGAGGCAGCAG
rnacentral:rRNA from 1 species